GACGUAGGGCGCAAGCGUUGUCCGGAUUUAUUGGGCGUAAAGAGCUCGUAGGCGGCUUGUUGCGUCGUCCGUGAAAACCUGUGGCUCAACUACAGGCUUGCGGUCGAUACUGUCGGGCUAGAGUCCGGAAGAGGCGAGUGGAAUUCCUGGUGUAGCGGUGAAAUGCGCAGAUAUCAGGAGGAACACCAAUGGCGAAGGCAGCUCGCUGGGACGGUACUGACGCUGAGGCGCGAAAGCGUGGGGAGCAAACAGG
rnacentral:rRNA from 1 species